rnacentral:rRNA from 1 species
UACGAAGGGGGCUAGCGUUGUUCGGACUUACUGGGCGUAAAGCGCACGUGGGCGGAUUAGUAAGUCAGGGGUGAAAUCCCGGGGCUCAACCUCGGAACUGCCUUUGAUACUGCUGAUCUCGAGUCCGGAAGAGGUGAGUGGAAUUCCUAGUGUAGAGGUGAAAUUCGUAGAUAUUAGGAAGAACACCAGUGGCGAAGGCGGCUCACUGGUCCGGUACUGACGCUGAGGUGCGAAAGCCUGGGGAGCAAACAGG